GAUCAUGGCUCAGGAUGAACGCUAGCGGCAGGCUUAACACAUGCAAGUCGAGGGGCAACGCGAGUAGCAAUACUUGGCGGCGACCGGCGCAAGGGUGCGUAACGCGUGAGCAACAUGCCCGUAUCAGGGGGAUAAUCCAGGGAAACUUGGUCUAAUACCCCAUAGUAAUUUUGUAAGGCAUCUUAUAAGAUUUAAAGCUUUGGUGGAUACGGAUUGGCUCGCGUGACAUUAGCUGGAUGGUAAGGUAACGGCUUACCAUGGCUAUGAUGUCUAGGGGUUCUGAGAGGAAGGUCCCCCACACUGGAACUGAGACACGGUCCAGACUCCUACGGGAGGCAGCAGUGAGGAAUAUUGGACAAUGGAUGGAAAUCUGAUCCAGCCAUGCCGCCGUGAAGGAAGAAGGUCCUAUGGAUUGUAAACUUCUUUUGUAUGGGAGCAAUAAGGCCUACGAGUAGGUUGAUGAGAGUACCAUACGAAUAAGCACCGGCUAACUCCGUGCCAGCCGCCGC
rnacentral:rRNA from 1 species